rnacentral:rRNA from 1 species
UACGUAGGGUGCGAGCGUUAAUCGGAAUUACUGGGCGUAAAGCGUGCGCAGGCGGUUUGUAAGCCAGAUGUGAAAUCCCCGGGCUUAACCUGGGAAUGGCAUUUGGGCUGCAAGGCUUGAGUGCGGCAGAGGAGACUGGAAUUCCUGGUGUAGCAGUGAAAUGCGUAGAUAUCAGGAGGAACACCGAUGGCGAAGGCAGGUCUCUGGGCUGACACUGACGCUCAUGCACGAAAGCGUGGGGAGCAAACAGG